CUAGCCGUAAACGAUGGAUACUAGGCGUUGUGAGUAUCGACCCUCACAGUGUCGUAGCUAACGCGUUAAGUAUCCCGCCUGGGGAGUACGCGCGCAAGCGUGAAACUCAAAGGAAUUGACGGGGGCCCGCACAAGCGGUGGAGCAUGUGGUUUAAUUCGAUGCAACGCGAAGAACCUUACCAGGACUUGACAUGUCGCGAAUCUCAGGGAAACUUGAGAGUGUCUUCGGGAGCGCGAACACAGGUGGUGC
rnacentral:rRNA from 1 species